rnacentral:snRNA from 1 species
CCCUUUGUCGCUAAGAUUC